GCGCGAGUGGUGAAAUUGGCAGACACGCAGGAUUUAGGUUCCUGUGCCUUCGGGCGUGGGGGUUCAAGUCCCCCCUUGCGCACCA
rnacentral:tRNA from 9 species